UUUUUCAGGGCGGGGCGAAAUUCCCCACCGGUGGUAAAGUCCACGAGCCUUCGGGUUGAAUUGGUGAAAUUCCAAUACCGACAGUAUAGUCUGGAUGAGAGAAAAA
rnacentral:ncRNA from 1 species